AAAUUGAAGAGUUUGAUCAUGGCUCAGAUUGAACGCUGGCGGCAGGCCUAACACAUGCAAGUCGAGCGGUAGCACAGAGAGCUUGCUCUCGGGUGACGAGCGGCGGACGGGUGAGUAAUGUCUGGGAAACUGCCUGAUGGAGGGGGAUAACUACUGGAAACGGUAGCUAAUACCGCAUAACGUCGCAAGACCAAAGUGGGGGACCUUCGGGCCUCAUGCCAUCAGAUGUGCCCAGAUGGGAUUAGCUAGUAGGUGGGGUAACGGCUCACCUAGGCGACGAUCCCUAGCUGGUCUGAGAGGAUGACCAGCCACACUGGAACUGAGACACGGUCCAGACUCCUACGGGAGGCAGCAGUGGGGAAUAUUGCACAAUGGGCGCAAGCCUGAUGCAGCCAUGCCGCGUGUGUGAAGAAGGCCUUCGGGUUGUAAAGCACUUUCAGCGGGGAGGAAGGCGUUAAGGUUAAUAACCUUGGCGAUUGACGUUACCCGCAGAAGAAGCACCGGCUAACUCCGUGCCAGCAGCCGCGGUAAUACGGAGGGUGCAAGCGUUAAUCGGAAUUACUGGGCGUAAAGCGCACGCAGGCGGUCUGUCAAGUCGGAUGUGAAAUCCCCGGGCUCAACCUGGGAACUGCAUUCGAAACUGGCAGGCUAGAGUCUUGUAGAGGGGGGUAGAAUUCCAGGUGUAGCGGUGAAAUGCGUAGAGAUCUGGAGGAAUACCGGUGGCGAAGGCGGCCCCCUGGACGACUGACGCUCAGGUGCGAAAGCGUGGGGAGCAAACAGGAUUAGAUACCCUGGUAGUCCACGCCGUAAACGAUGUCGAUUUGGAGGUUGUGCCCUUGAGGCGUGGCUUCCGGAGCUAACGCGUUAAAUCGACCGCCUGGGGAGUACGGCCGCAAGGUUAAAACUCAAAUGAAUUGACGGGGGCCCGCACAAGCGGUGGAGCAUGUGGUUUAAUUCGAUGCAACGCGAAGAACCUUACCUGGUCUUGACAUCCACAGAACUUUCCAGAGAUGGAUUGGUGCCUUCGGGAACUGUGAGACAGGUGCUGCAUGGCUGUCGUCAGCUCGUGUUGUGAAAUGUUGGGUUAAGUCCCGCAACGAGCGCAACCCUUAUCCUUUGUUGCCAGCGGUCGGCCGGGAACUCAAAGGAGACUGCCAGUGAUAAACUGGAGGAAGGUGGGGAUGACGUCAAGUCAUCAUGGCCCUUACGACCAGGGCUACACACGUGCUACAAUGGCAUAUACAAAGAGAAGCGACCUCGCGAGAGCAAGCGGACCUCAUAAAGUAUGUCGUAGUCCGGAUUGGAGUCUGCAACUCGACUCCAUGAAGUCGGAAUCGCUAGUAAUCGUAGAUCAGAAUGCUACGGUGAAUACGUUCCCGGGCCUUGUACACACCGCCCGUCACACCAUGGGAGUGGGUUGCAAAAGAAGUAGGUAGCUUAACCUUCGGGAGGGCGCUUACCACUUUGUGAUUCAUGACUGGGGUGAAGUCGUAACAAGGUAACCGUAGGGGAACCUGCGGUUGGAUCACCUCCUUA
rnacentral:rRNA from 1 species